rnacentral:rRNA from 1 species
CAGCCUGCCGCGUGUGUGAAGAAGGUCUUCGGAUUGUAAAGCACUUUAAGUUGGGAGGAAGGGCAGUAAGUUAAUACCUUGCUGUUUUGACGUUACCGACAGAAUAAGCACCGGCUAACUCUGUGCCAGCAGCCGCCGGUAAUA